GAUGAACGCUGGCGGCGUGCCUAAUACAUGCAAGUCGAACGAGGUGCUUUUUGUAGCAAUACGAGGAGUAUCCUAGUGGCGAACGGGUGAGUAACGCGUGGGUGACCUACCCCAAAGUGUGGAAUAACAGUCCGAAAGGAUUGCUAAUGCCGCAUGUGGUCUGCGAGUUUAGAAAUCGUUGACUAAAGGAGCAAUUCGCUUUGGGAGGGACCUGCGUCCCAUCAGCUAGUUGGUGAGGUAACGGCUCACCAAGGCUACGACGGGUAGGGGACCUGAGAGGGUGGCCCCCCACAAUGGAACUGAAACACGGUCCAUACACCUACGGGUGGCAGCAGUAGGGAAUAUUGCACAAUGGGCGAAAGCCUGAUGCAGCAACGCCGCGUGCGCGAUGAAGGUCUUCGGAUCGUAAAGCGCUUUUCUGAGAGAUGAGAAAGGACAGUAUCUCAGGAAUAAGUCUCGGCUAACUACGUGCCAGCAGCCGCGGUAAUGU
rnacentral:rRNA from 1 species